AUGGGAUGGGGAUGGGAGGAGAAUUUUCCAUCCUUCCUGUGUGAUCUUGGGCAAGUCACGUGUCUUCUCUGAGCCUCAGUUUCCCCAUCUGGAAAGGGAGCGUCAUUAAAUGAGAGACUGGAGUUCUCAUUCUGGAGCUGACGUCUGCUGAGAGUGGGGGUGGCCUAACAUGUGGCCAGUGGAGGAGCCCAUCUCAGUCCUACUUGCCAGGGGCGCCAUUGCUUGGGUCCAAAGCCCCACGCCUCCUCCAGUCUGCGACUUUUGCUUCCACGUGCACGUCUUGUGGUGGCCAUUGCUCCUGGACCCCAAAAGCCAGUUUCCUUCUACCUUGGGGCUUAUGGAAGGAUCACCGUUUCCCAUGCCCUGAAGAACCACACAGCCACGAGACUUGCUGUGGUCUAAGAAGUGAGUGGCGCUUCCAGGUGGAAGCGUUUGAGCUGAUGUGUGUGACUCUCUGUGCACUUGUUGACUUGACCACCAGCUUUCCAAAUGGUGGAGCUUUUGUCAGCCAAGGUCGUAGAGUGAAA
rnacentral:lncRNA from 1 species